UUUGUUGUUGCUAUUCAAAAUAAAUUUCAAUUCUUCCAGAAGCAGCAACAAAGGUAAGUGAAACAAUUUCCUUACAAGAGCAAACUCUCCUUUGACUAUUUUUAUAAUUCUUCAGGAGAAGGUGUCUACGUGCAUUUUCUCUCUGGAUAUUAAAUGACAACAAAUGCUAUAAUAUAUUAACACUUCUUAUUAUGGUUUUGUAUGCAGAUAAACCAAAGAGGAGCAGGAAGCAAAGAUCAUUUGCUGCUGCCUGCUUUUGAGCUCAUGAAUUUUAUUAUAAAGAACGUGAUCAUGGGACCACGGAUGCAGUUCACUGACAGAGUUCAUAAGCCUGAGGUCUCGGGUUCAAGCUCCAGUCACAGCACACCAUCAACACUGUCACUGAAAAUGUAGCCCUGGUAGAGAAAUAAAAAUAUAGAGAUGACUGCGACAUGGAAGAAGGUAUCUGAAGAAGGAACACUCUUCCUCAACCUAGGCUGUGGCAGGAUAACAGACACAUGAGAUAUACGAUACAUCGAUCUGAGAGCUACCGGAAGUCACAGCGGGGGAGGAUCAUCUUCCUGCUGGAUGGAGAUGUGUUGUAAAAAUUUUACAUUUUACAAUUAUUUAUUACAAUUGUUCAUUUGAACUGGGGGGUAUGCAAGGCACGGCAUGUUCAUGGAAGGUAGAGGACAUCACGAGAAAGGUCACUAUCUCCUUAUUCCAUAGACGUCCGGAGGAUCGAACGCAGGUCGUCUGGCUUGACAGCAGUCACCUCUUACCCACUGAACCAUCUCCACAGCACCUUUGUGUGGAAUAUCUAUACCUUCAUAUAUAAUAAUCCAUUACAGUUAGAAGAGAUAUAGAAUAAGAAAAACAAUUUUUCUAGGGUUCUGGACAGAUGGCUCAGUGGUCAAGAGCUUUUGCUGCUUUUCCAGAGAACGUGGGUUGAGUUCUAAGCACACAAUUAUUUGUAACUCUAGUUCUAAGAGAUCUGAUGCCUGCUUCUGGCCUCUGCUGGUACCAGGCAUACACAUGUGUGCAUAUAUAUAUAUGUAUAUAUAUAUAUAUGUAUAUAUAUGCAUAUAUGCAUAUAUAUACAGGUAAAACACUCAUAUUCAUAAAAUAAAUAUAAGAAAAACACUUAAAAAUAAAAAUAAUUCUAGUUGAAGAAAACUGGAUGGCUAAUAGUGGAAAUAUGAGGAAGCUUGCGUCAGAAAGUUUGAAGAACAUCAAAUGAAAUAAAUGGAAAAAUGCCAAGA